rnacentral:rRNA from 1 species
UACGUAGGGUGCAAGCGUUAAUCGGAAUUACUGGGCGUAAAGCGUGCGCAGGCGGUGAUGUAAGACAGGUGUGAAAUCCCCGGGCUUAACCUGGGAACUGCAUUUGUGACUGCAUCGCUGGAGUGCGGCAGAGGGGGAUGGAAUUCCGCGUGUAGCAGUGAAAUGCGUAGAUAUGCGGAGGAACACCGAUGGCGAAGGCAAUCCCCUGGGCCUGCACUGACGCUCAUGCACGAAGCGU